CAUGGCUCAGGAUGAACGCUGACAGAAUGCUUAACACAUGCAAGUCGAUGGGGAAGUGGUGCUUGCACCAUGGUAACCAUGGCGGACGGGUGAGUAACGCGUAAGGAACUUGCCUGCGGGACUGGGAUAACAGCAGGAAACUGCUGAUAAUACCGGAUAAGGUCAUUAAGCUGCAUAGCUUAGUGAUGAAAGGAGACGCCUGCGGAGAGCCUUGCGUCCUAUUAGCUAGUUGGAGGGGUAACGGCCCACCAAGGCGAAGAUAGGUAGCCGGCCUGAGAGGGUGGACGGCCACAAGGGGACUGAGAUACGGCCCUUACUCCUACGG
rnacentral:rRNA from 1 species